rnacentral:lncRNA from 1 species
UGACUUCGUACGUUCUAGAGUUAGCCCCAUUAAUAAGAAUGAUUGUUCCCUCAUUUGUCUCUCUAUACCAGCUGAAGAGGCUCAAUCCCUCAUGCCCACCAAAAUAUUUUCCUUCUCCAGCAUAAACACCCAAAGACAGCUCCUUCACAUGAACAUUAGAAACUACUGGAAGAGCUGCCACAAGAUAUCAAUUCCACUUUUUAAUGAGCUAAUUUAAGGAAAAGAAGAACUAAACAAAUGCAGCUUCUUGGCAUAACUUGGGCCAGACCAUGGAUUGGUAUAAUGGAGUACAUGUAAUUCAAUUUAAUCAACCAUACUGUGGUUCAAAAAGUGGCCAAAUAGGUUCAUCACAAGAUUAACAGAACUCCAAAAUGCAUGCACCUGUGAUGAUGUUUAUGGAAGGUCUAUGACUAUCUAUAGCCUUGCAUAACAAGAUAGGUCUUUGUUGUCAAAGAACAUAUGAAGUUGAAAUUUAUGAAUGAAUACCAGGGUUAACUGGAGAGUUGGAAAUUGUGACUAAAGGCUUUCCACACUUGCCAUCUGCACGAGUAGGCAGCCAGUACAGAGCCAAAUAAGCUCCAACAUCUUCAAUUGAUGGAGUAUAUGCC